rnacentral:lncRNA from 1 species
CCUUAAAAAAAAAACCUUCUGACACUGCAGUAGUGAAAAUGAAGCGCACGAUGGGCGGAAGCUAGGAAGACAAACAUAAAGAUGAAGUGCUUAAUUCAAGGUCACACAAUGUCGGGGAUGGACCUCCAGAUUUCCUUACUGGUGAGACGUGGUCUUGUAACACAGUGGUUAAGAAUGUGACUUUGGAGCCAGCCUGCUAGGGGCUGAAUUCUGACUCAGCCAUUUACUAACUGUGUGACCUUAGGUCACAGAAUUUUCCACACUCCUUGACAGAGGUGCUUAACCCUUAUCCAUCAGCAUUCUCAGACAGCACCUCCGGUUAGGGACAGUAUCUGACCGUCCGACAUCCCUGCAGCCCCCAUGUGUCACACAGACUCAGCCUCAGGUAGAUGGUUUCCGUAGAUGGUGGCUUUCUUUGGACCCUUGACAUCAACCAGUUACUAUUUGCCAGAGACAGACUCCCAGACUCGGCCAGAGGCUGAUGCCAACUCCUUCCAGCUCU